UACAGAGGGUGCAAGCGUUGUUCGGAAUUAUUGGGCGUAAAGCGCGUGUAGGCGGCUUGUUAUGUCGGGUGUGAAAGCCCUCAGCUUAACUGAGGAAGUGCGCCCGAAACUGGCGAGCUUGAGUGCCGGAGAGGAUAGCGGAACACCCGGUGUAGAGGUGAAAUUCGUGAGAAUAUCGGGUAGAACACCAGUGGCGAAGGCGGACUACUGGACGGACACUGACGCUGAGACGCGAAAGCGUGGGGAGCGAACGAGG
rnacentral:rRNA from 1 species